UCCCGCCCCCCAGGGAGAACACGUGGGGAUGCCCAGGUGUGUGCUUACAAGGAAAGCAACCCCAGAACGACGUCUCCACUUCUACAUUACAGUCGAGUUGCCAGAAAAACAGCACAGGGUGAGCCCCCCAUGAAGUACACCAAGGCCAGUCUUCUGGGUUAUUUCUUUGGAAUCCAAGAACAAUAUGCUGAGGUUUUCUGGGACAUCACACUUUGCAUAACAACCUGUUCUGGACAUCUAUAUAUAUAAAACCCUAAUAUGCAAAUAGACGGAACAGCAGAACAACUGAACAACCGAACAACCGGUUGCUAUGACGUGCAAUGACCACCAAGGGGUGUGCGUGGCACAUGACGAGCAUCAGCUGCGGCAGGAUGGUGGAGCAGAGAAGCACAUUCUGACCUGGCUGAGAGCUAUAUGCCCCGGGAAAUAAAAGUUAACCUAGGAAUGCAGUCGGUCCAUUCUCCUUUUCCAAGAACUGCCUGUCAUCAUGGGAAGAUUAACAACCUUGUUGCUGAAACAGUCUGGCCCAAGAGGCACCUGCCCUUUGCCCGCCCUUUCGACCCCAGCCCACGUUGCCUGUAACCUAGUAACCAUUAUACCUGGCCUACUUCUCCAUGCCUGUAAUACCUAUACUUUCCCAUGUAAUCUUUGUCCUCCUACCCGAUAUAAGUGGCUGGCUUAUGGGAAGGAGUCGAGCAGAUUUUUGUGGCUGACCUGCUGCUCUCACAUACUGCUGGCAUUAUUGGAAUAAAUGCUCAUGUAUGGUUCAA